ensembl:lncRNA
GGUUUCUGCAGCCAGCUCCCGGGUGGAGAAAGUGGAAUCUCAGUAGCUGUAGAGUAAUAUCGGAUUUCUUUUUCAGCCCGCACGCUUUCUCCAUGCUAUUCUGCUGACCUCAGGCCGGCAUCAGAGAGACUUGUCUCGGCUGUGGGCUGCACUGUGCUUCUGACGGUACCGCCACUAAAGGCCAGCAAAGUUGUCGCCUGGGAAUACAAAACUGGCCCGUGGGAAGGUGUCAUUGUCAGUUCUGCUCCUGAUAGACCCACCAACACGUCACGCCCCUACGAGAAUCGCACGAGGUUCAAUGAAACGGACUUCUCACUGCAGAUCGUGCUGCAGCGGGAAGAUGACGGGCUGUACCGGUUCAGGUCCGAGUCAGACGCCACGGACUGGUUCCAGCUGCGCGUUGUUGGUGAGUGGUGAGAUGAUAGCAAACCCUCUGCCGCAGAUGGAGAGCUUGAAUUGCUGCGGAGGGAGGUGCUCCAGGUUUGAAUGCUGACCGUCGCUCCAUCUCUCGCAGAACCGCUGUCCGAGCCAGAAAUCGUGGGCAAUUCAUCAGUGAAGGCAGGAGGCAACACCAAACUGGUUUGCAAUGUCCUGGACGGGAAGGCAGACUUGUACUGGUGGAAGAAAAAUGGGGAGCUGCUGCUGGGAAGCGACCACAUCCAGUUUGUUGACAACACCACCCUAUGCAUUGUUAAAGCGUCAAUGAAUGACAGCGGCUACUAUGCUUGCGUGGUCCGCAACGAAGUCAGCCAGAAUGAAACCUCCUUCCUGCUCCAUGUCCAGAAUGCUGCGAACGUGGUGUUGCCCAUGAUCCUGGCAUGUAUUAUUGUUGGCUCGCUUGCAGGUGUCUUCGUCUGGUGCAGGACAAGGGACUGCCCAUGUCACAAUGUCUGUCGGUAGAGAGCUUGAGUGGCUGCGGCCUUGCUGCCUUCCCUGAUGGUGGUGGUGGUGGAUUCUGCCUGGGGAGCACUGGAUGUCUGAUGCUGUCCCAGCCUCUUCUGGGGUCACCUCUGAAUUGCUCAAGCUGUUGAACCCAACAAAUAUUUUUUUUGUAAAACACUGUCUUGGACUAUUUCUACGUCAUCCUGCUUUUCCCCAGGGCCCUUGCACAUCCCUGGGGGAGAGGUGGGCAUGGCCACACCUAGUGGCCCUGCUGCUGUGCUCCAGACCUCCUUACCUCUCCUGGCUUCCUCCAGAGACCGUGGGGAGUCAGUGCUUGCAGAUGGGCUGACGGCUCUGGAAAGAGCUGCCAUCCCCAGUGGUGGCUGCUGGGGGGUGCUGCGGUGCCAGCCCCUGCCUCCCCAGGGCUUGAGCCCCUCACUGCGGCCUCCGGGUGUGCUGCUGUGCCUGGGAAUUGCCAGGGCAGCUCAGGGGCUGAGACUGUGGGCAUUCUACUCAGUUUGGUCCUCAGAGGGAGGAAGAAGGGCAGGAUUUUGCUGUUGUGUGCACUGGGGAGUCCAGGAGAUGAGUGGAGUCAGUAGAAGGUGGCAGGGAAUGUAGGAGCCGUAAAGUAGUUUUAUUUUAGAAAGGAAACCCCAAAGAAGUCCUGGUUAUGUUAGAACAGUGACGCAGCCUUGCAUGGGAGAUGUAGGGAUGCUCCUGAGCCCACUCCUCUGUCCUCCAGCCUUGGGCUUUGGUGAGAUCUGGGGACGUCCCCUCCUCUUCCAAGCACUAGCCAUCUGUGUCGUAUGAGUGCCGAUGCAAGCUUGUCCUUCCCUUUUGCCCCUCCUGAAGGUGAUGGUAGACUUGGACUGGUUUGCUAUGGCCAGGGCAGCCCUAAUUCCAGGCCCUUAGUCCUGUCGCCUCCCUUCCCCAUGCUGCUUCUGCAAAGCUCUCCUGGGCUUUGCUUGUGAAGGGGUCAUUAUUCCUUCUUGUAGCCAAAAUUAUUUAGCCUGGUAGCAUAACUGGCAUCUUCACCCUGGAGAAAACAGGAUGCUCUCCCAGGAGUGCUGGACCUCACAAAGUGCCUUGCUGAUGGUUAGAUGGGGGCAUUUGUACCCCUCUUUCAUUCUGAUGGGGACAACCCCAGGUCCAGCACCCUGUCUGAGCUGGUCCCCAGCACCGCUGUGGGGGCAGGUGUUUCAGGUACCCUCAUCUAGGUAUUGGGUGGUCAUUUCUUUCCCAGAGCAGCUGGUGUCUUGGGGACCUCCUCUUGCUUCGAGCCAUGGUCAGCACAUGGUGAGCAGUAUGGGUGGAUGUUUCUGUUGCUUGGGUCUUGCCUGUAGACCUGCUUCUGCAGCAAAGGGCUUUCUUGGCCAGGGAGCAGUGGGUUUCCCUCUCCUUGGAGUUACUGGAGAAUAGAAGUGCAUCCAGGAGAGGCUCAAAUCGUAGCCCAUGGCGUGAGCAGUAGCUGAGCUCUCUUACGCCUCUGCUCUGGCAGACAGUGCAGCAUGGCUCUGUCCUGGGGAGAUAACUGGGAUAUAAAGGAACUGGCAGCCAAGGGCCAUCUCUCAGCCUGGCAUUUCAUGUUGCAAUUAAAGCAUUAAAGGAAACCAAGCAGUUUGGGUCGAGUAAACUAGAUUUCAACCUCUGUUUUAAGCUGCAUUGCAGAUUCCUUGUUGCACUUGCAGGUAUAAAACAAAUGAAGCCACGUUUUACAAAAGAUAGUUCUCUAAACUUUUCAGAGAGUUGUCUGUAAAUCAUUUUGGAGACCUUGUGUUGUUUUAGUAUGUGUUGCUACUAAUAAAAUUGCGUGUGU